rnacentral:lncRNA from 1 species
UUUUUUAAAGAUUUUAUUUAUUUAUUCAUGAAAGACGAGAGAGAGAGAGGCAGAGACACAGGCAGAGGGAGAAGCAGCUCCUUUGCAGGGAGCCCAAUGUGGGACUCGAUCUCAGGUCCCUGGGAUCAUGACCUGAGCCAAAGGCAGAUGCUCAAUCACUGAGCCACGCAGGUGUCCCUCCUUUUUUCUUUUUUUAAUAACUUGCUCAAAAGUCAUUUUCUUUGAAAGUUCCAUUAGUUUUCAGCAAAAAUUGAUGCUCAUCAUUUAUAUUACUGUAUGUUUUUAUACAUUAACACUUGUCUUAUUAUAGUCUAGUGUAUGAAUAUCUACAAUAUCUAUACUUCGUUCUUGAAUUCGGGAAUGCUCUGUUAAUUACUAUGAGGUAAUGAUGGUUGAUAGAAACUAAGUAAAGAAAAUGUGGCAAUAUUGAUGAUCCCGUAUCUCUCUAAAUACCUUUAUUUUCACUUACAAAUUUACCUUUCUUUCAUUGCUUUCCUUUUAUGCAACCAUGUUCUGCUAGCAGUGGAUACAAAUAUAAAUUCCAUUGACUGAGCCUACCUAUCUUAUAAUCAUAAAGUUAGGGUGCUGUGAAUUUCAGCUCCAUGUUUAAUGUCACACAUAUUUGAGUAUUUGAAUCAAGAUUAUAAUUCAGUAUUUCUGAGUGUCUGGUGUGUUCCCCUUGACACUAUAUUACUUAACUAGAUCUCUGGUAUUUUUUACCCUUCUCCCUUGUUUAUGUGUGAGAUUUUCCAAUGCAACUCAAUAAUAUGCAUAGACUUUUCUGGAAGCAAUCAAAGCAAAAAAAAAAGCAAUCAAAAAAAAUUUAUAUAUAUAUAUAUAUAUAUAUAUAUAUAUAUAUAUAUUCCUCAAACUUGACAUACUCCCAAAAGGAUUUAUUUAAAGGUUAGAUGAUGAAAAUAUUGGCCAGUUUAAGAUAGAGAAAUAAUCUGGAAGAAAUUAAAUUACAAAAAGCCACAGAUAAUGAAUACUGAAUAUAGCAGAACAUAGCUUUCUUUAUUCAAUUUACCUGUAAACUUUCCCAUACCCUUCAUAUCCUUUCGGUUUAGGUGAGGUAAAAAAGGGGGCAAGUGGGUGAUAAGCAUCUUAAUGUGAUGGCAUCCAUAAAAUCUACAUGUCACAUUUCAUCCAAGAGCUAAUUUUCUGUUUGAAUUAUGAACCUCUGUAAAUAGGAGACAGAAGUGGAAAGCCUGAAACAUCUAUCACUCUUGACCCUUGGCUGAUUGAAAUGUGAGGACUUCAAACAAGAAUAAGUUUUGGUUUAAGUGCCAAAUUGAAUCAUCAGAUAAAGAUAAUAAUAUUUUUAAAUACAGUGAAUGUACAUACUGAUAUUGACUUUAAUACUUCUUUAUUGAAUCUUACGAUGCACACAGACAUAUAUGUAAAUAUUAUUUUUAAAUAAUUGUGACCCCGUAUAGCCACACAGCGGGCAUCCUCUGUAGACUUUCACAGCAACAUUGAAAGUCAAAAUACUCAAGUGCUCUGACAAGGUUGUAAUGAUUUAGGAGACGCAAAUCUCUUUCAGUACAUAGUAAAUAAACCAGUGCUUUAACCUAUAUAUUUGAAAAUAUUCAGUAUAGAUCUGCGAUUGCCAAAACAUCUUUACAUGCUGUUUCCAAAGUGUUAUGUAUGUAUUUAUUCAUGUCUUGACUUGUUCCAGAAAAGAUUAAAUGUGAUCAAAAUACAUACAUGACAAAAUAAAAUAAAACUUGGCAAGGAUGAGUGUGAACGCAAUACUGAGUGAUAUAGAGAGGCGAUUGCUUUGAUUAAGGGUGAGGUAUAUUUUGGCUAAAUAUCUUCUUUUAAUUCACUAGGGACGGUAUGCAUCACAUGUGCAGAAAUAGACAGACUCCCAGAAUGUUAGAGUAUAGCUACAAAACUUAAGUUCAACAUCUUUUAUUAGAUUUAUUUUACAUUUUAAUUAUAAAACAGAAUAUACUUCUUGAUUUAAACAAGUCUGACGCAGACGUAGAGGAAGUGAGAGCCUGCCUCCUCUCCAAUCUUGCUCUUCCCAUAUUUUGUGAAGUAUAAAGUAGGAAUCAGUAUAGAUGCUACUAAUAGAGAGGGAAAUUCAGGUUCCACUGAUAUAUUCACCCCACAUUUAUUACAUGUCUAUGGUACACCAGGCUCUCUUUUGGGCUUCUUGCAAAAAAAAAGGGGGGGGGUGAAACUGGCACAGGUCUUCUGAGAACUGAGAGAGGCAGGCACACAUUAUUCAAAUGUACUAACUAUAUAAUUGCAUGUUCUGAGUGGAUGCCAUGCAGAACAACAGCAGGCUGUUAAUAAAGCUGGAAACCUGACCUCACCUGAGGGAAUCAGGAAAGAUUUCCCUAUUUGGACUUAUUUUGACCAGAGCCAUCAUGGAUGAAAUCAACUGUAAAGAAGACAGUGGGAAAGGGGAAUGUGGAAACAUGAUCUGAAGGGGAAAAACAGCUUUGCGAAGGCUCUGCAGUUGCAAAGAGAUAAACUAACUCGAAAUAACUGAAAAUCCAAUUGGGAAGACGCUAAUUUAAGAAAAUCAAAAACAUGUCAGCAUGUUUUAAGUGCGGAAGAGAGGUAUGGAAAGGAGUUGACGGAGAUGCAGCAAAGACCAGAUCAUGCAGUAAACAGACAGGGCUGUGGGCACUUCUGGUGUUUGAACCUCCUUUCCUGGCUAAUCCAUUACAGAGUUUCAUUUAGAUACAAUGGAAAACCAACACUCUAAAUCAUGUGCAAUUAACAAAAAUUCCAUGACUCUCAUCACCUUUAUUUGAUUAGGUUCUUACAUUAAAGUGUCGCAUGUAUCUCGAAUUCGCUAACCACAGUUUUGGGUUAUUGUUGUUGUUUUUAAUCACAAUCAAUCACUGAAAACAAUAUAUUUUUGCUUCACUACUUGUAUCAGGCCCAGGUAAAAUCCUUCUCUGUGGUGCUAUAUUGUUUCCAUAUAUACCUAUCUACCUAGCCACUCAUUAUGCAUAAAAAAUGGUCAAAACCUUUCUUACUUUUAUAUUUGGAAAUACUGGGAAAAGAAAGUUUUCUAGUGCUUUGGAAAUCUUAGGUAGUAGCAGAGAUUUCACAAAUGGGUGCUUAUGCUACUCUUGAGUUCCCUGUUGAAUAAAAUUUAUAUCCUUCCAUGGAUUAAACAGAAAGACAUAACCAACCAACCAAAUAAAGAUAAAGAAAAGCAAAACAAAACAAGAUAAAAUAAACUAACAAACUAAUAAACUAGCAAAAAAAAAAGUUACAAUUAGAGAUGGCUAUUAUACUUAUUUUCUUACUCUAAAAGUUUGUAAAUGAAAAUAAAGAUUCAUACUGCCUUUUGUGUACAAACUACAUUUAAAAUUAACCAAACAGCUUAACUGAUGAGGAAAUGCUCUUUAUAUAAGGACGCCAGCUAAUGAACGCAUGUAUGGUGAAUGGCAAGUUUGAAAUUCAUUUUUGGUUUCUGAGGAAGUGGAUCAUCCACACAUACUGAAAUCUUUGGGUAAAGCAUUAAUGAGGAACUGGAUGUUCACAUGUUAUUUAUCGGCUCAUAGAUCAUACAUUUUUUGAAAGGUGAGGUUUCACAGGGAUCUGGUUGCCAUUGUCUUGACUGAUGACUAGUCUUGUAAAUAUUAUGAGUGGGAUGACCAGAGAUUUGGAUGCCUUGUAAUUUGAAAUAAUAGGUGAGGCACAGCAUCACCUGUGAAGUAUGAGUGUCAAAUAUAUUUACACUGUGUUGAGUAAACAUCUAUUGGUCAACUGAGGUGCUCUUUUCAGCGUUCAAUGUUACAGAAAAAAAUGGAGAAAAGAGAAGAGUCAUAGCAACAAAAUAUAAUCUAUAAUCCUCAGUUGUGUCUUGCUUAUUUUUUUUGAAAGAUUUAUUUUAGAAAGAGAGUGUGUGAGUGUGGGGAGAAGGGGCAGAGGGAGAUGGAGACAGAAUCUUAAGCAGAUUCCACACUGAACACGGACCCUGACUUGAGGCUUGAUCACACCACCUGGGAUCGCAACCUGAGCUGCAACCAAGAGUCAGACGCUUAACUGACUGUGCCACCCAAAUGCCCCAUGUGUUUUGUUUUAAAUAAAAAUGUAUAAAAAGGUAUUUUAGAAAAAAAAACAGGGGAUGUUUGAAAAUGAACAAUGACUUAAAUGGCAUUAAGGAAUUAGUGUAAGAAGUAAUUGUGACAUGUAGGAGGUCAUCCUUGUAUUUUAGAAGUGAAUCCUGAAGUACUUGAGGAUGCAAAAUCAAGAUGCUUGUGAUUAUAUUUAGGGUUCCUUAGGAAAAGACCAGUAAAGUAUAUCUAGCGAACAUCUGAUAAGAACUUUAUGAAUUUUUAAAAUAUUUUCUCUUUACUCUUCGGUAUGUUUUAGGUCUUCCAAAACAAAUCAAAACAAAAAUAGAGAAAUUGUCAAAGAAUAGCAAUAAUAAAUAUUUAUUGGUAUGGCAGAAAGAAGUAAAGGAGAAAAGGAAGGAAUGGAAAGAAAGGGAAGAUCAGACAUUUAGGGAAACUACAUUCCUUUAAAAUGCCUAACAUUUUUCCUCUUUGGUACACAAGUUGCAAGAUUAUCUGAAGUCGGCCUAUUAGCUACAUUCUCUGCUUGGUACCUACAUUUUGACUCUUUGCCCAAUCCCGGUAUAUCUUAUCAGCACCAGGUACUAUUUUCAGAACUUUUGACUCUUUGCCCAAUCCCGGUAUAUCUUAUCAGCACCAGGUACUAUUUUCAGAACUUCUGGUUUCAAUUUCUUAACCUGAUAUUGACCAACAUCCAGGUUCCUCAUAGCAAUACCCACUAAAUAGGCUUUGCCCUUCUUUACCUAUGUCUGAACAUAAUUCAUUUCACGCGAGGAGAGCAAGAGGGAGAAGUAGUUUAUGCACAACCCAAUUACAGGAUAACUUGCAAAUUCAGUUGUAAUCUGUGUUUCCUAAAAAGCACAGGCUUUGGCCUAAUACUACAGUUUUACAACUACAGGAACUUACUCUCACUGUUUCCAUAAGUUGCCAAAAGUAGAACCUAAAGGUGACAACAAUAGCUAAGACUAUUCAUAAGUACUCAACGCGUUAUUGAUGCUAAACUGAACGUAGAAGACAAAUUAUGCUCAUAUCACAGAUCCAGACACUGAGAAUCAGAUGUAAACUAACUUAACCUGACCAGGUCAAUUUCCUAAAAGGUAUCUGAGCUGGGUUGCCUUAUUUAUUUAUUUAUUUAUUUAUUUAUUUAUUUAUUUAUUCAUUCAUUCAUUCAUAUAUAUUUUUAGAUAUUUUUAUUUUUUUACAUCCCAGAUUCUAUUUUAAGUUAAAAAAUAGUUUGCACAACUCAGAAUAAUAUAUCAUUUUCCAUUAGACUAAUGAUUGCAAUAUGAUUUCCAGAACAUAGAUAAAUUCACUUUUUCAUACAGCAUUUUACUUUUUUGUUGUUGUUGCAAUUGCAAGUUAAGAAUAGCUAUAUCCUCAGGCUACUGCAGACUUUUAUCAGCAUUUUUCCAAGGCCUGGGCCCCAGGGCUAGGAAUCCCCUAUUAUCUGCAUUACUGACACCUACAGCAGCCUCAGUCAGGGAUGUGCUCCUGCUGGCAAUUGUAGACAUAGUUCUGGAUUUACACUGGAGACCAAUGCAAAGCUUCUGUCAAUACCCAGGGCAUCCUUCAGAAAACUCUUGUGGCACUACACUUGAACUUUGAAUUGUGUGCUGCCCAACUGGUAGCAGUAACUGAGUACCUUGCUGUCUGAAUAUUACUCCACGUUUUGAAAAAAAAAAAAAAAAAA